GCCAACGUGAGGAUAAACGCUUGCUGUUUGUGGUACCCAGGGUACCAAUAUUAACAUCUCACAACACUAAACAGAAUUCUUAAGUGUUCAGAGCUAACUCUUAUCUUCAUCAUCACUUGGUCUCAGUAUAACUCAAGAUGAAAUACUUAACAACCUCAAGAUAGUCUCUGAAGAUCACUCCUGGGAUCAGACAGGACAUUUCUGGCAUAAAGGACUUAUCAAGAUUGAGGAGCAGGACGUGGAGGCAAACAGAGGUGUCAGAGAGUGGAAGGGUGGACAUUUGUUUUAGAAAUCCAGCCAACCAAAUGGGAUUUCUUGACUAUUCUGAAUAAAGAAGUAACUAAGUGUUGGUCAACAGGAUUCAUGAUGGCCAAGAGUCCUUAUCCAGAGAGGACAUGAAAGAAGGCAUUGCUCUCAAACAGUUCUGUCAGCAAGAAGCACAGCAGCAUGCUGAAUCCUGCAAUCCUGAAGAUUAUUUACAGCAUGAGAUGCAUGAGACCUCUGUAUACGUAUCUGGAGAUGGGAAAUCUGCCUUUAGACUUUUGGAAAAACUCUAGCAAGGAAGAGAAGGCCAUCACUCAGACUAGGAUGCUGAUGAAAUAUGUCAUGGGGGAAUGGGGUGAUUUUACCCACGAAUCUUUCCAAAUAAGCAAGCAAGCAUGUUUAUUGACAUAGUUGAUACGAAUAGAAAGCUUUAAAGAUAAAGGAUUCUUAAAACCCAAUUUAGUUUUCAUUCAUAUUCUGCCCCUUUUUGCAUUUUCAGCGUCAGCAAUGAUUAUCAGCUUCAUUGUUUUUACCAGUCAGUUUCUUUCAAGUUUUCUGUGCUUUCAGGUUUUGAGUCAUGAAUAUGACAAAUAUGGUAAUUGUUUACAACCAGCUAUUUCUAGUGGAUUAAUUUUAAAUGUCAAUACAAAGGUCUAAGAUUUAUGUGUGUCUUUAAAAAAAAAUAAAUCUAAGGACAA